UACAGAGGAUGCAAGCGUUAUCCGGAAUGAUUGGGCGUAAAGCGUCUGUAGGUGGCUUUUUAAGUCCGCCGUCAAAUCCCAGGGCUCAACUCUGGACAGGCGGUGGAAACUACCAAGCUGGAGUGCGGCAGAGGGGGGUGGAAUUCCGCGUGUAGCAGUGAAAUGCGUAGAGAUGCGGAGGAACACCGAUGGCGAAGGCAGCCCCCUGGGCUAGCACUGACGCUCAGGCACGAAAGCGUGGGGAGCAAACAGG
rnacentral:rRNA from 1 species